GUCAUCCUGCUUAUGCAAGACGGGCUUGGAAAGAAGAAAGGAGAUGAAAGAAAGUCGAAUAGUUUGUUCUUACAAUUCCUUGUUUUAUUUACAAAGGAUUUAGGAUGCUGAAGAUUUCACAACACAGAAAGCACAGGCUCCGAGAAGUUGUUCAGCCCAGAUACAUCUUCAACACAAACCCCACACCUAAAGCUCAGGGAAUAUCAUACUGGACAGAAAGACUUGAACAACCAAGAGGACCUGGACAUACGACAGGAGAGCGGCACCCAUCAAAUAUGGCUGUCUAAACAAGACCUGAGCAACGACUCCAGUUGACAUAAUGGAGGAACUUUUAGGGGCCACCCUUAGAAGAACUAUAGGCAAGAUAUGACUGAUGAGAGGGAGAAUUAGUUUUCCCUAGGGAUGUGCCCCCUGAUUGAUUAACUAAUAUGGGAUAGCCAAACCUAAAUACGUGUGCAUACACACACACACACUGAAUAAAUAUAUAGGUUCAA